CGGUUUUUGUGUAAAACCGACUUAGAUGGAGACCCAAAAUUCGCGCCCCCUCUCAAUUCAUGCGCGCUGUUCAGUCUCCCAGCCACAACCCUGGUUCUCUCUCUGUUCUCGAAAGCUCUCAACCUAAGUCUCAACGACGAAGUCGAUUUCGGCGAGCACAGCCUCAACGACGACAAGUUUCGAGAUUUUUCUGGUUAAUGUUGGGUGAGCUUUCUGGCUGGUGCUGAACUCGAAGCCGCUUUUUCCUGUUUCUCCAUUUGCUUGCUAGAUCCAAAUAGAAUGAUUUAUUGGGAGAAACGAGCCACACACGGUUCAUCUUUUCUUGUCUCCCACGCAUUUCUAAUUGGUAACUUGACGUUCUAGUAUUAAGAUCAAUCGUGUUGACUGAAUUUCAUUAUCCCAAGGUAUUGUUCUUUUUUGCUUUAUGACUCUAAUUGGAUUUCGAAGCUUUGGCGCAAUAAGCAGUCAGAUGUUAUUCUACUGUUUUUGAGUGCUCGUACCAUUAUCCAAGCUUAUCUAACCAGGAAUUUUUUGCUUAACCUGAUACAGGUAUUGAAAUAGCCAUACCUUCUGUAAUCAAUAACAACUUAUUUUAAAUAGUAGAAUUAUGUUGUUUAAAGUUGUUGUAACCAGGGAUCCAUCUAUGAGAUUUUCUUUUUGAAAAGUUUAACAUAAAGUUGUGCGUAGGGGUAUGGGUAAUCAACUUUAAUCAUACGUCUAGUCUUGUGGAGGUUCAUGGCUUUUAUCACCUCCUACUGUUAGGUGCUUGCUUGCCUUUGUGAUGCUCAAUCAAGUCUAUAUAGAUAAGAAUCUUGGGAAAACCACACCAAAAAAGCUAAUUCUUUAAUGUUGCAAUUUUGUUAAUUCUUUAAUUAUUUUUCUUUAAACACAAGUAAAGAUUAUUUUUUUUUGACAUAGCCUUUAGUGGUUUAUAUAUCUGUGUUUAUUCAUCUGUUAAUUUUUAUUUUCCAUUUUUGUUUUGUGGAAGUUGUGUUGUGUUAUUUAUUAUUUAUAUUUUUUGUGCUGUUUUCCUUUAUUUUUUUUUCUUGGUGAAUAUUAGUUGAGUGUUUAUCAAUAAAUAAAGGACAUUCUUCAGUGGAUGGUUAUGCCCCAAUAUAGCUGAAGCAGAGUGGAAUUUGUGUGUAAUUCCUUUUUAAAGACUAAGUAGGUUUGACUUGGGCAUUAUUAUAGUUUUGACUCUUGACACAUCCAUGUUUGUAUUUGUACCUUGAUACCAGCCUCAAAUAUUUCAAAAGAUGCGAGCUGAUCUGGCUUCUAUGUGAAGUCCUACUAGCAGAACAGGAAACUUGAGGAGAUUCUCUAUAAAAGGCAACUUGAUACCUUUGAACGAGAAUGCUUCAAAUUCUUUCUACAAUGAAUCAUUGACAUUCAAUGAGGACGUAAGUAUGAAGGAUCUUUUGGAAGCUGUAGUCCCAUUUGAUAUAUUGUUGGAUCGGAGAAAAUGGGCAUCAUUGGUAAUUUGUGAUGAAGCACUUGAGUGAGAAUUGAUUAUAUCAGCUUCUUAUGUUCCGGGAAUGGAAAUUACAUUAUCAAGCCGAUUAAAAAGCCUGUAUAGUUUAUACAUAAAGAAACCUGGUGGAAUCAUUGCUCUGCUUGAUGAAGCUUGGGUCCAACCAUCAUCCGGCAAAGUUUCUUCAACAGUUUGAGUCAUUUUCUGAAACUAAGGCAUGGUCGUAUGCAUGAUGCAGUACUAGAUGUGUGAUGCGUCGGUACAGUCGUAUGCGUGAUAUCGGUGUCGGUAGUGGAAUGCAUUGACACAGUCAUGUGUGUACAUGAUGUUGGGCGUGUGAUGCGACAGCGAAGGUGAGGAAGAUGUGGACAUAAGUGGCAUUCAAGGUGCCAAUAAUUGAGUCAUGGGAGCACUCUGAUAGUGUGACAUCGGGGCAAGGGUCUUCUAGGACUUUAAUUUUUAUUGUAAUUGGAGUUUUUACAUUUCCUUUGAAACUAUUUAUGAACUUAUUUGCUUUCUAAACUUUAUUUUAAGUUGAUCGGAUAUUGAUAAUGUAUUUUCUUUUGGAUAUGUGAACCAUUUUACCUAUGUUAAAUUGAUAUUUUUUUUAAUUUACUUUAUUAUGUAUAUUGGGGUAGAAUGGGUGUCCAUUAAGUUUAGCUUGACAAGGUGUAUUUUAUUUUUCAAAUAUGCUACUAAUGCAUAUGAGGGAUUCUCAAUAUUUUGUAGUUACAAAUUGAUAGAUCUUUAUGAAGAUUGAA